rnacentral:rRNA from 1 species
AGUGAACGCUGGCGGUAGGCCUAACACAUGCAAGUCGAACGGUAGCACAGGAGAGCUUGCUCUCUGGGUGGCGAGUGGCGGACGGGUGAGGAAUACAUCGGAAUCUACUCUGUCGUGGGGGAUAACGUAGGGAAACUUACGCUAAUACCGCAUACGACCUACGGGUGAAAGCAGGGGAUCUUCGGACCUUGCGCGAUUGAAUGAGCCGAUGUCGGAUUAGCUAGUUGGCGGGGUAAAGGCCCACCAAGGCGACGAUCCGUAGUUGGUCUGAGGGAAUGAGCAGCCACAGUGGAACUGAGCCACGGUCCAGACUCCUACGGGAGGCAGCAGUGGGGAAAAUUGGACAAUGGGCGCAGGCCGGAUCCAGCCAUACCGCGUGAGUAAAGAAGGCCUUCGGGUUGUAAAGCCCUUUUGUUGGGAAAGAAUCCAGCUGGCUAAUACCCGGUUGGGAUGACGGUACCCAAAGAAUAAGCACCGGCUAACUUCGUGCCAGCAGCCGCCGUAA